AUUGAACGCUGGCGGAAUGCUUUACACAUGCAAGUCGAACGGCAGCACGGGGGCAGCCCUGGUGGCGAGUGGCGAACGGGUGAGUAAUACAUCGGAACGUGCCCGGUCGUGGGGGAUAACGUAGCGAAAGUUACGCUAAUACCGCAUACGAUCUGAGGAUGAAAGCGGGGGACCUUCGGGCCUCGCGCGAUCGGAGCGGCCGAUGUCAGAUUAGGUAGUUGGUGGGGUAAAGGCCUACCAAGCCGACGAUCUGUAGCUGGUCUGAGAGGACGACCAGCCACACUGGGACUGAGACACGGCCCAGACUCCUACGGGAGGCAGCAGUGGGGAAUUUUGGACAAUGGGCGCAAGCCUGAUCCAGCCAUUCCGCGUGCAGGACGAAGGCCUUUGGGUUGUAAACUGCUUUUGUACGGAACGAAAAGGCUCUGGCUAAUACCUGGGGCUCAUGACGGUACCGUAAGAAUAAGCACCGGCUAACUACGUG
rnacentral:rRNA from 1 species